CAUCGCUACUCUGACGCUGAGGUAAACAGAUUACAGUUACAGCCACAGCGAUGGAGAAUGGCCCCACUGGUUGCCAUGGCUCCCUGCAGCAAUGCAUCUCAAUUCUUGUGCUUGAGCGGACUGAAGUGAAUUUAAAAAAACGGAUUACUUUGAUGCAGGGUUGAGGAGCUCGCCCUCUUCCUAGGAAAAGAGAAUCCAAAGGAAAAGAUGCACUUUGCCCUCCCAACACCUCCGGAACAGUUGAAUCAGC